UGAAACACGGACCAAGGAGUCUAGCAAGUACGCGAGUCAAAAGGGUUCACUAAACCUUAUAUGGCGUAACGAAAGUAAUGUAGAUCUUGAUAACUCGUUUAUCUUGAUCACGUUGAAGGGUCUCUUCGGAGUCCCCCGUUGGACCGAUCCCCUCGAAAUGCCGCACGCCCUCGGGUUUGUGGCCUCUUUCAACUUAUGGGGGGCGCAGGUCCGGGGCCCGCCACUAACCUCUCCCUUCGGGGAGACGAUAGGCGGGUUCCAAGAGCGUACGUGCUAGUACCCGAAAGAUGGUGAUCUAUGCCUGGCCAGGACGAAGCCAGAGGAAACUCUGGUGGAGGUCCGUAGCGGUUCUGACGUGCAAAUCGAUCGUCGGAGCUGGGUAUAGGGGCGAAAGACCAAUCGAACCAUCUA
rnacentral:rRNA from 1 species